ACGGCUGAGUAUACGUGGGUAAUCUUCCUCUGAGUCUGGGAUAACUUUCCGAAAGGGAAGCUAAUACUGGAUGGUCCCGAGAGAUUAUAAGAUUUUUCUGGUAAAGAUUUAUUGCUUGGAGAUGAGCCCGCGUCCGAUUAGCUAGUUGGUGAGGUAAAGGCUCACCAAGGCGACGAUCCGUAGCCGGCCUGAGAGGGUGAUCGGCCACAAUGGAACUGAGACCCGGUCC
rnacentral:rRNA from 1 species